rnacentral:rRNA from 1 species
AGGGUUUGAUUAUGGCUCAGGAUGAACGCUAGCGACAGGCUUAACACAUGCAAGUCGAGGGGCAGCGAGGGCGUAGCAAUACGCCUGUCGGCGACCGGCGCACUGGUGAGUAACACGUAUGCGACCUGCCCCCUACAGGGGUAUAACCCGUAGAAAUGCGGACUAAUCCCCCAUAGUCCUGGGUGCUGCAUGGCAUUCAGGGGAAAGGCCAGCCGGUAGGGGAUGGGCAUGCGGCGCAUUAGCUAGUUGGCGGGGCAACGGCCCACCAAGGCGACGAUGCGUAGGGGUUCUGAGAGGAAGGUCCCCCACACUGGUACUGAGACACGGACCAG